rnacentral:lncRNA from 8 species
GGGGUAGAAGCUGUUCGUGGUCCUGUUCGUUCCAGACCCAUUUAGACAUGUCUCUAGAAAUGUAACGAUAGUCUACAAUUUAAAUACAUUUUAAGUGGCAAGAAUAAAUGCUAGAGUAGCCUAUUAUGCUUACAUUUAGGUCUCCCAAAACAGGUAGGCAUAUAACGCAUCAUUUUGACAAGCAAUAUUAUUUUGUAGAUUUAGUAAAUUUCAAGGGACCAACGCAACAAAUUCAAGGAUUUUGGCAACAUUAAAAAUCCCUGGUUCUAGGAGGAGGGCUUAAAUCAAUCAGCGCUAACUUCGACCAAUCCUGUUGACUGUGGGAGGAGACAGAAUUGCAAGGGGGUGUGUCUCUAGACAGUACGCAGUCGCUUAGUACCGUAUCCAACUCCGAGAGUAAUGAAUGGCAUGAGCAUUGCUUUACUAUUUUUGACAAGCCAUAUCAAAGCGCUACCUUGGAACAUACGCUACCUUCUAUCGGUUUGAACUUUUAUUCACAUUUAUUCACUAGGCAUAAACCAGACAAGGAGAAGAAGAAGACCGAGUUGGACUAAUUAGCCUACUACUAACUCGAAUCAAUAACUUAACCGCAAACUGACACAAGCUUCUACAUUUUCAUAUUUGUCAAGCCGAAAGGGAUUUUGUUUCUGGACAUGUGAAUCAAAGGAGUUACUGCGAACCCCUGAAAAUGAAGCUACUUGCAUCGGUUCUGUGUUGCUUGGGCUUUCUGCUCACUUCUGCGCUGUUUCGGAGGAUCUCUUCACAAGCAGGUGUAGGACAAGGCCUGUUAACUCUGCUCCACACUGAGCCAAUGACAAAGG